UACAGAGGGUGCGAGCGUUAAUCGGAAUUACUGGGCGUAAAGCGUGCGUAGACGGUUUCGUAAGUCGGGUGUGAAAUCCCCGGGCUCAACCUGGGAAUUGCAUUCGAAACUGCGAGGCUAGGGUACGGAAGAGGGAAGCGGAAUUUCCGGUGUAGCGGUGAAAUGCGUAGAUAUCGGAAGGAACACCAGUGGCGAAGGCGGCUUCCUGGAAUCAUACUGACGCUGAGGCGCGAGAGCGUGGGGAGCAAACAGG
rnacentral:rRNA from 1 species